rnacentral:pre_miRNA from 1 species
ACAGACCGUCGACCGAGGGGGCCGGGAUCCCGUACACGGGGUCCCGGCCCCCUCGGCGCGUUGUCUGGA